rnacentral:rRNA from 1 species
CCUACGGGCGGCAGCAGUGAGGAAUAUUGGUCAAUGGGCGAGAGCCUGAACCAGCCAAGUCGCGUGAGGGAGUACUGCCCUAUGGGUUGUAAACCUCUUUUGUCGGGGAGCAAAAGCCGGACGUGUCCGGCUGUGAGAGUACCCGAAGAAAAAGCAUCGGCUAACUCCGUGCCAGCAGCCGCGGUAAUACGGAGGAUGCGAGCGUUAUCAGGAUUUAUUGGGGUUAAAGGGUGCGCAGGCGGAUUUUUAAGUCAGCGGUCAAAUCGUGGGGCUCAACCCCAUCCAGCCGUUGAAACUGGGGAUCUAGAGUGUGCGAGAGGUAUGCGGAAUGCGUGGUGUAGCGGUGAAAUGCAUAGAUAUCACGCAGAACCCCGAUUGCGAAGGCAGCAUACCGGUGCACAACUGACGCUCAGGCACGAAAGCGUGGGUAUCGAACAGGAUUAGAUACCCUUGUAGUC